AACAUUCUGUUUUCCGCAUGUUAUUUUUCAGUUAAAGUAAAUUUUGAAGAGGAAGGCUUACGGAAGUUCAAGGAGCUGACGCAAGAGAAAGGGAUUAAAGAGAAAAACGUUGUGAAUUUCAUCGAAACUGAUGACUAGCUUCCUUGAGGAAAGCUAUACAUUUCAAAUCAACCUCGGGAAAGAGUCCUUUGUCUCGAUGGAAUCAAGAUCAACAACAUGAUGGAAUCAAAAUCAACAACAUGAAGACCACUUUCCUGGUUCCUGAUUAACAUGGUCCUUCUCUCUUC
rnacentral:lncRNA from 1 species